rnacentral:rRNA from 1 species
AUUGAACGCUGGCGGCAUGCCUUACACAUGCAAGUCGAACGGUAACAGGUCUUCGGAUGCUGACGAGUGGCGAACGGGUGAGUAAUACAUCGGAACGUGCCCAGACGUGGGGGAUAACGAGGCGAAAGCUUUGCUAAUACCGCAUACGAUCUAAGGAUGAAAGCAGGGGACCGCAAGGCCUUGUGCGUUUGGAGCGGCCGAUGGCAGAUUAGGUAGUUGGUGGGAUAAAAGCUUACCAAGCCGACGAUCUGUAGCUGGUCUGAGAGGACGACCAGCCACACUGGGACUGAGACACGGCCCAGACUCCUACGGGAGGCAGCAGUUGGGAAUUUUGGACAAUGGGCGAAAGCCUGAUCCAGCAAUGCCGCGUGCAGGAUGAAGGCCUUCGGGUUGUAAACUGCUUUUGUACGGAACGAAAAGUCUCUGGCUAAUACCUGGGGCACAUGACGGUACCGUAAGAAUAAGCACCGGCUAACUACGUG